AGAUUGAACGCUGGCGGCAGGCCUAACACAUGCAAGUCGAACGGUAACAGGGAGCAGCUUGCUGCUCUGCUGACGAGUGGCGGACGGGUGAGUAAUGUCUGGGAAACUGCCUGAUGGAGGGGGAUAACUACUGGAAACGGUAGCUAAUACCGCAUAACGUCUACGGACCAAAGUGGGGGACCUUCGGGCCUCAUGCCAUCAGAUGUGCCCAGAUGGGAUUAGCUAGUAGGUGGGGUAACGGCUCACCUAGGCGACGAUCCCUAGCUGGUCUGAGAGGAUGACCAGCCACACUGGAACUGAGACACGGUCCAGACUCCUACGGGAGGCAGCAGUGGGGAAUAUUGCACAAUGGGCGCAAGCCUGAUGCAGCCAUGCCGCGUGUAUGAAGAAGGCCUUCGGGUUGUAAAGUACUUUCAGCGGGGAGGAAGGCGUUGUGGUUAAUAACCGCAGCGAUUGACGUUACCCGCAGAAGAAGCACCGGCUAACUCCGUGCCAGCAGCCGCGGUAAUACGGAGGGUGCAAGCGUUAAUCG
rnacentral:rRNA from 1 species